AGGAUGAACGCUGGCGGUCUGCUUAACACAUGCAAGUCGAACGGGCGUAGCAAUACGUUAGUGGCGGACGGGUGAGUAACGCGUGAGAAUCUACCUUCAGGACGGAGACAACAGUUGGAAACGACUGCUAACCCCCGAUGUACUGAAAAGGCAAAUAUUUAUAGCCUGAAGAAGAGCUCGCGUCCGAUUAGCUAGUUGGAGAGGUAAAAGCUCACCAAGGCGACGAUCGGUAGCUGGUCUGAGAGGACGAUCAGCCACACUGGGACUGAGACACGGCCCAGACUCCUACGGGAGGCAGCAGUGGGAAUUUUCCGCAAUGGGCGAAAGCCUGACGGAGCAAGACCGCGUGGGGGAAGAAGGCUCUUGGGGUUGUAAACCCCUUUUCUCUGGGAAGAAAGUUGUGAAAGCAGCCUGACGGUACCAGAGGAAUCAGCAUCGGCUAACUCCGUGCCAGCAGCCGC
rnacentral:rRNA from 1 species